rnacentral:rRNA from 1 species
UACGUAGGGGGCAAGCGUUAUCCGGAUUUACUGGGUGUAAAGGGGGCGCAGACGGCGAUGCAAGCCAGGAGUGAAAGCCCGGGGCCCAACCCCGGGACUGCUCUUGGAACUGCGUGGCUGGAGUGCAGGAGGGGCAGGCGGAAUUCCUGGUGUAGCGGUGAAAUGCGUAGAUAUAUGGAGGAACGCCGGUGGCGAAAGCGGCUCUCUGGCCUGUAACUGACACUGAGGCUCGAAAGCGUGGGGAGCAAACAGG